AGAGUUUGAUCCUGGCUCAGGACGAACGCUGGCGGCGUGCCUAACACAUGCAAGUCGAACGAGAAUCUUUGGAAUGAUUCUUUCGAGAUGAAUUCCAAAGAGGAAAGUGGCGGACGGGCGAGUAACGCGUGAGUAACCUGCCCAUAAGAGGGGGAUAAUCCAUGGAAACGUGGACUAAUACCGCAUAUUGUAAUAAAAUCGCAUGAUUUAAUUAUGAAAGAUUUAUCGCUUAUGGAUGGACUCGCGUCAGAUUAGAUAGUUGGUGAGGUAACGGCUCACCAAGUCAACGAUCUGUAGCCGAACUGAGAGGUUGAUCGGCCGCAUUGGGACUGAGACACGGCCCAGACUCCUACGGGAGGCAGCAGUGGGGAAUAUUGCGCAAUGGGGGCAACCCUGACGCAGCAACGCCGCGUGCAGGAAGAAGGUCUUCGGAUUGUAAACUGUUGUCGCAAGGGAAGAAGACAGUGACGGUACCUUGUGAGAAAGUCACGGCUAACUACGUGCCAGCAGCCGCGGU
rnacentral:rRNA from 1 species